UAGUGAAGGGAGGAUUUUANCCAACAUAUUUGG
rnacentral:tRNA from 1 species